rnacentral:rRNA from 1 species
UACGGAGGGUGCAAGCGUUAUCCGGAUUCACUGGGUUUAAAGGGUGCGUAGGUGGCGCUGUAAGUGGGGUGUGAAAUCCCGGGGCUUAACUCCGGAACUGCAUUCCAUACUGCGGUGCUUGAGGACUGGAGAGGAGACUGGAAUUUACGGUGUAGCAGUGAAAUGCGUAGAGAUCGUAAGGAAGACCAGUGGCGAAGGCGGGUCUCUGGACAGUUCCUGACACUGAGGCACGAAGGCCAGGGGAGCAAACGGG